rnacentral:rRNA from 1 species
CCUACGGGAGGCAGCAGAGAGGAAUAUGGGUCAAUGGGCGCGAGCCUGAACCAGCCAAGGCGCGUGAGGGAUGAAGGUUCUAUGGAGCGUAAACCUCUGUUAUAAGGGAAUAAAGUGUGGGACGUGUCCGAUUUUGUAUGUACCUUAUGAAUAAGGAUCGGCUAACUCCGUGCCAGCAGCCGCGGUAAUACGGAGGAUCCGAGCGUUAUCCGGAUUUAUUGGGUUUAAAGGGUGCGUAGGCGGCCUUUUAAGUCAGCGGUGAAAGUCUGUGGCUCAACCAUAGAAUUGCCGUUGAAAAGGGGGGGCUUGAGUAUGUUUGAGGCAGGCGGAAUGCGUGGUGUAGCGGU